rnacentral:tRNA from 1 species
AGUAAAGUCAGCUAAUUAAGCUUUUGGGCCCAUACCCCAAAUAUGUCGGUUAAACCCCUUCCUUCACUA